rnacentral:sRNA from 1 species
UGAAGAGAGAGGUUAGCGAGGGAGACCAAGUGUUGCAGGGAGGACGGUGAUUGGCUCUGCAGCCAGAGACAUCUCACUACAGGGCCCAGGCCUGGCUCCAGAGCACUGCUACAUCGAGAACCUGCGGGGCACCCUCACCCUCUACCCCUGUGGCAAUGCCUGCACUAUUGAUGGGCUCCCUGUCCGGCAGCCUACCCGGCUCACUCAGGGCUGCAUGUUGUGCCUGGGUCAGUCCACCUUCCUUCGCUUUAACCACCCGGCUGAAGCCAAGUGGAUGAAAAGCAUGAUUCCAGCAGGGGGCCGAGCCCCUGGGCCCCCCUACAGCCCUGUUCCUGCAGAAUCAGAAAGUCUGGUAAAUGGGAACCACACCCCACAGACUGCAACACGGGGACCCUCCGCCUGUGCCAGCCACAGUUCCCUGGUGAGCUCUAUUGAGAAGGACCUGCAAGAGAUCAUGGACUCACUGGUGCUAGAGGAGCCUGGAGCUGCUGGCAA